rnacentral:rRNA from 1 species
AGGUUGGCUUAGAAGCAGCCAUCCUUUAAAGAAAGCGUAACAGCUCACUGGUCGAUGCGAUUCUGCACCGACAAUUCAACGGGGCUCAAGUCUGGUACCGAAGCUAUGGUUUUCGUCAGUAAAUGACGGAAAGGUAGGGGAGCAUUCCCUGACAAUGAAGUUCAUCCGUAAGGGUGGAUGGAGUCAAGGGAAGAGAGAAUGUCGGCAUAAGUAGCGAAAAUCCCGAUGAGAAUUCGGGACACCGAAAGCCUAAGGUUUCCUGGGGAAGGUUCGUCCGCCCAGGGUUAGGCGGGAGCUAAGUCAAGGCCGAAAGGCGUAGACGAUGCACAGCUGGUUAAUAUUCCAGCCCCAUCUGGUAAGCGUUAACACCUAAGGGGGGACGGAGAGGAAUAAGUCAUCCGGUGAUUGGUAGUACCGGUUUAACUCCUGAAGUCCGCUUGUGGCAAAUCCAUGAGCGCCAAGGACUGAUGGAGGAAUACGAGCUCAAUCGCAAGAGCGAGCGAAGUGGCUGAGUUCUUCUUCCAAGAAAAGCCUCGUAGGGAGUUUAUCAGGUGCCCGUACCGCAAACCGACACAGGUAGGCUGGGGGAAUACCCUAAGGUGCGCGAGAUAACCCUUGCUAAGGAACUCGGCAAAAUAACCCCGUAACUUCGGAAGAAGGGGUGCCUAAGUAGAAUAUGGUUAUUCAAUAAUUAUAUUUGAAAAGGCCGCAGCGAAAUGGCUCCUGCGACUGUUUAUCAAAAACACAGGGCUCUGCAAACUCGUAAGAGAAUGUAUAGGGCCUGACAAGUGCCCAGUGCCGGAAGGUUAAGAGGAGGUGUCAUUUGUCUUCGGACAGAGAAGCACUGAAUCCAAGCCCCGGCAAACGGCGGCCGUAACUAUAACGGUCCUAAGGUAGCGAAAUUCCUUGUCGGGUAAGUUCCGACCCGCACGAAUCUUGUAACGAUGGGAGCGCUGUCUCGGCGAGGGGCUCGGCGAAUUUGUGAUACCUGCGAAGACGCAGGUUACCCGCGGCUAGACGAAGAGACCCCGGAACCUUUACUGCAACCUGCUAUUGGAUUUUAGAAUAAUCUGCGUAGGAUAGGUGGGAGGCUAUGAAGUCCUGAUUCCGGUCAGGAUGGAGCCAUUGGUGAAAUACCACUCUUAUUAUUUUGAAAUCCUAACCUCUGUCUGUGAAUCCAGGCAAGGGACAGUGGGAGGUGGGCAGUUUGACUGGGGCAGUUGCCUCCUAAAAGGUAACGGAGGCGCCCAAAGGUUCCCUCAGGCUGAUUGGCAAUCAGCCGUUGAGUGUAAAGGCAGAAGGGAGCCUGACUGCGAGACUGACAGGUCGAGCAGAGGCGAAAGCCGGGCUUAAUGAUCCGGUGGUCCCGUGUGGAAGGGCCAUCGCUCAACGAAUAAAAGGUACUCCG